rnacentral:misc_RNA from 1 species
GUUAUUACUUUCUACCAGCGCUUAAUUGCGCGGUGGAAAAUAACCCAUACACACAGUGUUUUUUGUUUAUUACAAGAACUAUUGCUUUGGCUUGGCGCAAGUCGGGCCAGAGGUUACUACGUAAACUUCAAUUUUUAAUUGAAUUGUUAUUUUAAUACAGUUGUCAAUUUGUUUGAUUAAAUUCAAAAAUAAUCUUCAAAACUUUCAACAACGGAUCUCUUGGUUCU